AUUUUAUUUAUUUACUUGACAGAGAGAGAGCAGAGGUGGGAGUAGGGACAGAGGCAGAGGGAAAAGCAGGCUCCCUGCUCAGCAAGGAGCCUAAUGCGGGGCUCGAUUCCAGGACUCUGGACCAUGACCUGAGCCCAAAGCAGACACUUGAUCAACUGAGCCACCCAGGUGCCCCCUCAUGUCUGUUUACAGAAGAGGAACCCGGGGAACUUCCAGAAACUGCCCAAGCAUUUGUGAAGGGAUGUGGAAGCUGCCCAUGGUGGGGCCUGGCUCUCCCCAGAUUUGCUGGGGACAUUUGUCACGGAGCCGUCAUGGCUGGAGAGGAGCCAGGCUGGAGCACACAUGCUUGUCCUGAGAGCAGAGAAUCCUCCAGGGUGUCGGGGGGCAAGCGGACUGUGACGUGCAGCCGGCAGGCCUGCUCUCUCCAGGCUCCUGGGUGUUGCCACGAAAGCUGAGCGGAGGCUUCUCUUUUCAGCGCCACCCGAGGCUGGAUACCACGGGGGAGCAUGGGGCCGAGGCAGGUUCUCCAGGACACUGUCUUUCCAGUUCCGAUGUGCAGCGAUCUUCGGCUGGGACUGGCAGAAGGCUGUGCUACCGACAUGCACUCGGCAAUGCUUCUGUGCAAGUGAAGGAGCCAGGAAGUGGGGCAGUGAGGCUGGGGUCAAGGCCCAGGGCACCCCAGGAGCAUUUCCCCAGGCCUCUGGUUUGCUCUGCAGUUCACAGAC
rnacentral:lncRNA from 12 species